CCCUUUUAAAUGUCAUGAACCAUUACCCUUUUAAUUGUCAUGAGCUGUUACACGUUUCCACAGAUGGCAGACUUUGCGGCAGACCCACGCAGCAGAAGUGAUUGUUCUACAAAGGAAUACUGGAUUGACGGGCUCCGCUGUGACAAAGGGUUAAAGUUGAUGAGAAAAUGUUCUAGUGGCGUGGCAUCUCAGUGUGAGAAAUGUUCAGAAGGGAUAUACCAAGACGGGAGGGAUAUACCCAAGAUGGACUAAGUAUAAUACAGUUUCAUUUUUCUUUCAUGACUUCUGUAAUGAAAUAAAAAUGUCAGUUAUGUAUAUUUUGCUGUGUUGAUUUUGUUAAGAUGUUCACUCUUUGUUCUUUGACUUGUUCUGUGACUUAUGCAGUGGUGAUUUCACCGUAUACACCCCAAAAUAAUCAGUCUGGAUACUUCAAAAAGUCCUUUUUAUAGCAUUUCAUGGGGGUGUGUGGCCUUUAAAAGGACUGUUUUUGUAUGACUAAAACAUAAUAAGCAGGGAAGCCUUAGUAAUUAUGUGAAUGUAACCAUAUAUUAUUGCCAAAGAACACAGAUGUGCCUUCAGCAUAGACAAAUACCUCUGACAAAAAAACAUUUAUUGUAAUGUGACUUGACUUGUAAAAAAAAAUCUAUUUUUAUGAUAUUCAUACAAGAGCAAAAUACAUUUUAGCCCCUGUCCAAGCUAUGGCUUUUACAUAAUAGUAAAUUAUGAAAAGGAGCGACAGCAUCAAGCUGGGAAACACAAAGGUGCUACUAUCCUGAAUGCACGUACUCGUUUCUGGUAAUGUCAUUUGUCUAAAUAGUCUUUGUCAGAUCUUAAUGCAACAUUCAAUAGAUACUUUCACAAAGAAUACAAAGACUAUUUUUAGGAUGUCUGGACCUAGUAAUUAACCCAGAUGAUUCAUUCUGUCAUUAUAAUUCUAGUUUAUAAAUUCUAUAGUAUUUUGGCAUGGUCAUGGUUACUAAACUUACUUUUAAAACAAAAGUCACUGAGUCAAGCCCAAUGGGUGUGGACUGAUGAUGCGAUAACUCGUGCACACUUUCUUUCCAUUUGUAAUCUUUUCUAGUUCAUCUAGUUUGCUUGACGUCAUCAUUUACUCGCCCACGUCAUUCCAAAACUGUAUGACUUUCUCUCUUUUUUGCAGAUUUUAAAAGUGGUUCUGAGAGAAAAAAAAGUCCCUUAACAAACUAAACCCUGUUUAAUAAAAAAAUUAAAAUAAUAUUUUUUAUAAUAAACAUCUUGUUCAUGCAGUAUCUUGAUUUUUCAAUGUGAUGUCCAUUUUAUUUGUAUAGUACCUUUUCGAUACACAUUGUUUCAAUGCAGCUCUACAGAAAUUCAUUGUUUAUAAUACCUUCAUAUCGAUGCUUAAUGGACCACAUUUAGCACAAUUCAUGCCAUAAUACUUUUAUCUUCAGUCCCUUAAUAAGCCACUAUGGCAAAAAUCCAGUUUGAUGUUGAAUAAUGAAAAGAAAAAAAAUAUUAAUGUCAGUUAAUAAGUUAUGUACGGUGCCCGUAUGGUGACUUGUUCGGUUUACUUCAUUUUGUCAUGGCCACGACCUAAUAACUUGUGGGAACGUGAUAAUAUGUCGUGGCCAAAAGCGGAGCGGACAGCGUGUUUCAUUGUCUCGCCACCAUGCUAGUUGAUCUGCUGUAGAGUCAAUUGGUUGUUCUUGGAAAUAGCGGGUUAACUCCGUGUCAGCACGUGCUCUGAUCGGUAAAGGGGCAGAGAUUUCAGACCUCCGUUUAUUAAGGAGAUCUGUCACAAAACUCAUCAUCCGCGCCAACGUUUUUUGAGCAAAUUUCAAAGACGCACCCGCCCGCCAUCCGCUGAUUGUUUUGCGGUCUAUGGACGAUGCAAUGCUUUGCUGAUGCGAGCCGCAAAAAAAAGCCAUUGUCUGUUCUAGAAAGGAUGCAGCAAAGAUAUUUAAUGCUAGAGUAUGAGGCAUAGGCCUACGCUGAGUUUCAUUUAGGAUGAGAUGCGCUCUAGUUCACAGUGCAGUGCAAUUGAACGCGGCGCGCUGGUGCUUCCAUGUCACGGUUAUCAUUGUCUGCUAUAUUUGCCUUUUAUUUAUUAAAAUACAUGCAAUUGGUUGAUGAAACAUUUAUUAAAAUUAAGAUAAAAUUUGUACAAAACGAAAUUAGUUUUUAAGAAAGGUUUUCUACAAAUCAAAAUUUAAUGAAGUGGUAAAUAUCAUGUCUGAUGAUUUACAAAACUUCAUUAAGUGGUAAAAACCAUGUCUCCCGAUAUAUUGCGCAUCUUAUGAUCCUAUCUAAAAAAUUAAAAUAAUUUUUGAUAAAAAAUGUUUGUAAAAAUAUUUUAAUGACAUGGUUAUACACUAACCGUCACACCCCUAUUGUUCCCUCAACAUAGCAUCUCGAGGCCACGACAUAAGGAUGUCAUUAACUCGACAAAAUGAUCUCGUGGCCACGACAUAUUAUCACGUUCCCACGAGUUAUUAUGUCGUGGCCACGACAAAACUAAGUAAACCGAACAAGUCACCUUAUGGGCACCGUAGCUAUGUUACUAUAUUGAUUGAUCAAUAAAAUAAAGGAUUAAGUGUAUUUGCGGUCAUUCCACAAAUUAAUUUAAAAUAUGCAGAUACAUGUGAUUUGUCCAUUGCUGGAAAAUGAUGGGAUCAAUGAUCCACAAUGCCUCAAUAGUUGGCUUUAGUUUGAAACAAAUGACUAUUUUCUUAUAACUUAGAGUGUCAACAUAACCUUGACAAAACAUCAUAAUUUCUGAGCAGGAACUUGUGCACUGUCGCUGGAGAAAUUAACUUCCCUUAUUUCCUGGAAUAAGUCACAUUUGGUGUAUGCUUGUUUAGUACAUUUCCUUUUGGCCCAAAAUGUGUAUAAAAAAAAAAACAUAUGAAUUGAAAAUGUAUUGCAUGUUACAAUGCAUAACCAUCAUUGGGGUCAAAAUAAAUACAUUUAUGUUUAUGAAUCGGUUUAUUUAAUAAUUUGUUUUUAAUUAGUUUAUUGAUCAUUGACAAUCAGCCAUAUAUUAUAUUAGAGAUGUUCGUGGAACAGAGGUUUAAAUAUUCUUUAUUCUGAGACAUGAGACAGGAAUUCCUCUUUUUGGAGUAAAGGUUUUUCCCAGUUCAGUUCCUCAUAGUGAUGACUAAACCUGACUGGACCGGUUUAAAGUUUUGUAAUUGGGACAUUUAUUGUACCCCGCAUAGUUUUGUGGUUAGAGGAUGAGUAAUUUGUCUACUUAAAUAAGAACCUGUAAGGGCUUCCAUUCCACUCGUUCUUUCAGUUUGAAGGAAACAGGAGCAACUCUAACAUUAGAUCCCGGAGGACGGAGAAGGGUUGACUGCAUCCAUGAUAAGAAGCAUGUUUCACAUCCAAGGACAACGAAGUUGGAAACUCCUGCUGUGUAUUUUGUCAUCAUUGAUCGUAGGCGUUGUGAUGGGGCAGCGCAGCGUCGGCAGCAAAAGUGAUUGUGCUAAAAAUGAAUACUGGAGCGACGGGCUCUGCUGUGACAAAUGUGCUCCAGGGUAUAAGUUGGUAAGAAAAUGCACUAGAGACUUGCCAUCUCAAUGUCAGAAAUGUGAGAACGGGACAUUCCUAGACAAAAUGAAUUAUUUCCCAAACUGCUUCAGAUGCGAGAAAUGCACCAAGCCAUAUGCGGUGGUGAUUUCACCAUGUACACCCCAAAAUAACACCGUGUGUGGAUGUCAGUCCGGAUACUUCAAAAAGUCCUUUGAUAGCAUUACAUGGGAAUGUAAAAAAGAAAGGAAAAAAUGGCAUGGCAGGAACCAUUAUUGUGUUCGCUCAAAAAUUGAUGGGAUAUUAGCCUGAAGUAUGACUCAAGAACACAGCUCUACAUCCAGAAGAGGCGUCAUGCCCUUUCAUGCCCAUUCAUGCCCAUUCAGAUUUUAAAGCCAAGUGGAUUUUGAAUGCAGCUUCCAAAAGCAAAAAUAAGCGAUUUAUAUUUUCUGCUGUGUGAGAAUGUUCAGCGAGUCAUAUCAUUAGCUGCUAAAUUCAGAUCUGCAUUCGCUGGCUGGCGCGCUUUUACAGGACUGCACAUAAUUAUCACCAAUCACACAAGAUUCUGUUGAGCUUGUUAAAGCAUUAGCCAAUCAAAGGUGUUCCGAUGAGUCACCUGAAUACCUCUUUCUGGCAAAUUCUCUCGUCAGAAACAACAAAGAGCAGAUGUGUGUGCGAAUCUUUAAAUAAGAUAUUAAUUUCACAGUAUUAACAGUUUCAAUGAUUUUAAUGGGAGUUUUUGAGAUUGAUUUAACUCUAGACUGUCAGUGAAAAUUUUCUUUGCUCUCUUUCUUUACAAUGAAAUAUUAAUAGCCUAACUUACAACGUUUUUAUUAUAAAGGCAGUCAUAUUAAAAUAUAUUAUGGCAUGACACCCAUAUCUUUUACUUAAGUAAACAGACAGGUUUUUAUACUUAUUUAAUAUAUUACAUUAUUAGGCUACUUUGACACUCGUAUAUUAUCAAAUAAAUAAUCAAUGAAGGUGAGAAUCGAGAUAUUUCAUGGUAUAGUUAAUAUGUCUGGGAAUGUUACUAAUAAAAAUUACAAAUAUAAAUAAUGCUUAAUAAUAAUUUGCCAAUAUGCUGUUGUGGCCACUGUGUGUCACAUGACGACCCCCCCCCCCCCAACCCACUCAUGCCCUCUCAAAAAUAAUGAGUGCAUGACCCCUCUGACCUCCAGCAUGAACAAAUACCUCUGACAAUAAAUGAGAUUCUUGUGAGAAAGACUGAGUUGGGUGAAAGCCUACUGUAUACAAUCUAUACCAUGUUCCUCUUGACUGGUAGUUCAUGAUUUUAUUAUUAAGUAAAAGGCCUUUUAGUAUAAUUAUUUAAAAAAAUCCACCUUCAGGUCAUGGAACAUAACUUUUAUAAGGUUAGUAAAAAUAUUUCAAGACAAGCAUUUACUGGACUGAAAAAAAAUUAAAUUUUUGGGUUCAUCUAAUUAUUCAUAUGAAUGUAAUGGAAGGUUCUUAUACAUUAUAAGAUGACUAUUAGUUUUUUUCACUCUGUAAUCACGCACUUUACAGUAUUUAAGUGGUGUACUUUUAAAGGUAUCAAACAAAAGACUUGAACAUUUCUUUGUACUGUACAUAUCUCAAUCAUUGUAUUGCAUUAUAUUUUUUUAAAUAAAAAAUGACAACUGA